rnacentral:lncRNA from 1 species
CUGCACCCAACACCUUCAACAUCUAUCCCCAAAUCUCACUGUGUUCCUUCCUGCUUUGGGGUGUGAUUUUGUGAUUUUGAUAGACCAUCAGCUCCCCGAGGACAGGAAUCAUGUCACCUAGAGAUUUGUGACCUUCAUCACACUCAGCUCAGCAUAGAGCCUUGGGAGGUGCUCUGGGAAAGCAUUUGCUGGUGGGCUGGCCAUCCUCACCAGCCUGGUGGGGACCCGAAGGCCACACCUGACCUGACACCCACUGCUCUAUGCUUCUGUGACACAUGCCAAUUUGUGCAAUCUCAUCUCGUGACCAAGCGCAGCUCAAAUACAUGCACCAAAGCAGGGACUUGCACACUUGUUUUACUAUGAUCCACGGUGAGAAAUACGUUGACAUGACCUCCCAUCACUCACAUAUGUAACGGAAACAAGGGCAUCGUAGAUGAACCUUAUGCUAUGGGAUGUGCAUUUUCUGUUUUUUUGUUUUGUGUUCUAGUCUACUCUGAUCUUUCUGUUCUAAUCUGUCUAGUCCGUCUUUCCUAUUUUAUUUCUUAAAUGCCAGCAGUGUAUUCGCUAAAUUGAUGCCACAACCCACCAAUGAUUGCAAAACUUUGUUCUGCAAAGUUUCCUGACAUCUUGGAGCUCUGUGGGGGAAAUCCUGGGUUGCAAAAACAAAUAAGGGUGCAGUCCUAGCCCCCAGGAAGCUCACUUGGGAGUCAGGUGGGGGUGGGGAAGCAAUCACAUUAAAAAUCAUAACAUAUUUUCUCAUUAGCAUUUUCAAAAUUAAUACGCAUUAUGCAAGCAAUGUGUCUUUUAUUCCUAGAAAAGCUGUUACUAAAUCAAUGGUGUGUGUUACCAUGAACAGUAUCUCAGAAAUGAGGACACGCAGUGUGGUGCCGUGCUCUAAGGAUGGCAGUCUUCAUCUAACUAGCUUGCCUAGGGCUCCCACUCUGAAUGCCCCAGGUGGGCCACUCAGCUCAUCUCAGGACAAGUCACCUGUGCCUCCCAGAUGGCUAGAGGGUGACUCCCUCUACCAAUCACCAUUUACAGGAAUCUUCAAGGAGAACUUCAAUUUGGACUCCUGCCAAGUGAGCACUACCAAAGACCUUGAUGCCAAUAUUACUCCACCAGGCCAAGGUGAACAAACUUUUACUGGAAAGGUCCAGACAACAAAUACUUAGACUCUGCAGGUCAUAUGGUCUGAAUCACAAAUGCUGAAUUCUGUUCUUGGGGCACGAAUACACAAAGAACGAGUGUGGCUGUGUUCCCAUAAAACUUCAUCUGUGGACAUUGAAACUGGAAUUUCAUAUCAUUUUCACAUGUCAUAAAAUAUUUAUUCUUCUUUUGAUUUUCUUUUCAAUAUUUAAGAAUGUAAAAACCAUGCUUAGCUCACAGGCCAUACAAAAACAGGCUGGAGCUGGAUUUGGCUUCAGGAACCGUAGCCUACUUAGCUCUGUUCCAAGCCAAUCAGACCUUCCAGGAUGGAAAAUAUUUCAUAUCCACCAGGAGCUGAGAUGUGCCACCUUCAGCCGCAUUAGACUCUGGAACACAGACAAACAGAAGAAGCCAUCCGGUAGUUUUCUCUUGAUGUAUAUACCACAGAAAAGUCAUGUGGUGAAUACAGUGUUGAUGAAGAGGUUUUCGCCUGGGGCAAAACCAUCUUAAAACUACUAUAGUUUUCUAAAAGAGAAGGAGAAGUUACAGAUGGAAGGGCUGGCACUAGUGCUUGUGGGCACAACUCCUUUCGGGAUAAAAGAAAUAAAUCCACCUUUUAAAGCAAUCAGGCAGGCUCAGCCCAUCAUGUGGAUUUUUAAUAUUGCGUGUCUUUCCAGGAUAAACUGUCACCUUGUUUCACAUUGUAUUAAUCCAGUCUUAGCUAUGAUGGAAAAUGUUCAUAAGCCAGGGGGCAGCAAGUGCAAUGAAGUGUUUCAUUAGCCAGAUGGGUCCUGAUUAACCUCCAAUGUCCAAUGAGCAGCUGCACAGACCAGGCUCAUUACUGUGUGGCUGGUGUACCAGAGUGUGGCGCUGGCCAGGCACGGUGGCUAACAACUAAAAUCCCAGCACUUUAGGAGGCCAAGGUGGGAGGAUCACUUGAGGCCAGGAGUUCAAGACCAGCCUGGGCAACAUAGUGAGAUCUUGUCACUACAAAAAAAUUUUUUUUAAAUUUAAACUUGGCCAGGCAUGGUGGUGCAUGCCUGUAGUUCCAGCUACUUGGGAGGCUGAAGUGGGAGGGUCGUUUGAGCCCAGGAGUUUCAGGUUGUAGUGAGCCAUGAUCAUGCCACUGCACUCCAGCCUGGCUGACAAAGUGUCUAAAAAAAAUGUGGUGCUAAGUACUUGGGCAGACCUAGGUGAUGUUCUCCACCCUCGUACUGGGACCUACAUCUGUACCAUUUCUUAAGGCGUUAAAGAGUGCAGGACGCAACCAGACAACUUGGUCAGCCCUCCAUCACACCUGCUCUCUGUUCUUUUAUUUACCACAUUCAUACAUGCUCAUUUUUAAAAGUCAAUCCAGAAAUGUCCAUGCUAAAUAAACAAAAGACGCUGCCCUGCCCCUUCCUCAACCAAUUUCAUUCCCCUCCCUCACAAAAAAUUACUGCGGGCAGCUUGGCAUGCCCUGUGUAAACACACACCCACACGCACAGACACCAUGUAUGUGUCUGUGCCAUUGUCAUGUGUUUUGAGCUGUUUCCCAGCACUCUGUGUGGUGACCUAAUGAGGCUCUCCAUCCUCGUCGGCGCACAUGGAACCCCCUCGUUCUCACUGAACAGCCUCAGGCUCCUUCACACGCUGCGUCUUCUUUACAGCCUGCCAGUUAAACCCAAUGUUUUUACCUUGGAAAAUGUCACGGGCUGUUCUCCAGAAGCAGCAGUGAGCUGGUUCAUUGACGUUUGGUGACUUGUUCAGUUGUGCUCCUCACAUUCCAUUACUGCCACACCUACAGACACGUUGGUGUUUCACAAAAAGGCAAAUUCCAAAAGGCGACUGGGAGGAGCUUGCUAGCCGAGGCUCUUCUGCAGAGUGUUUUUUGGUCUUAAUGCUUCUGAAAUGCAUUUUAAAAUAAGCCAAACUGGUCAUGUGGCACCUGUGAUAUUAUCUAGAAAAGUGUGACUUGAGGGAAUUUCUCCAGAAUCAAAGAUGUCUGAACGUGUCUGCAUGAACAGAACCCAGGACGCUCCUUACUAAGCAGGCUCUGCAGAACAAACGCAAGCCAGGAGGAAAAGAGGAAAACGUAGGUUGGUGACAUGGUUUGGAAUGGGGAAGUUCGUGUGUGUGUGUGUGUGUGUGUGUGUGUGUGUAUAAUUUCGUUGAGGUAUAAUUCAUAUACCACAGAAUUUCCUUUUAAAUAUACAACUGGCUCAUUUGCAGUAAGUUUUUAGAGUUGUGCACCAGCAUCACAAGCUCAUUUCACAACAUUUCCAUCACCCCAAAAGAAGCCUCCUGCCAUGAGCAGACACUGCCCACUCCCACUCCGAGCACAACCACCACCACCCAUCUACUUUCUUCUGUACAUAUUUGCCUUUUCUGGAAAUUACAUAACGUGGAAUCGUGCAAUAUGUGGUAUUUUGAAGCUGGUUUCUUUCACUUAGCAUCAUAUAUGUUAACUAUUUUUUUUUUUUUU